GACGAACGCUGGCGGCGUGCUUAACACAUGCAAGUCGAACGGAAAGGCCCUGCUUUUGUGGGGUGCUCGAGUGGCGAACGGGUGAGUAACACGUGAGUAACCUGCCCUUGACUUUGGGAUAACUUCAGGAAACUGGGGCUAAUACCGGAUAGGAUCUCCUGCUGCAUGGUGGGGGUUGGAAAGUUUCGGCGGGUGGGGAUGGACUCGCGGCUUAUCAGCUUGUUGGUGGGGUAGUGGCUUACCAAGGCUUUGACGGGUAGCCGGCCUGAGAGGGUGACCGGCCACAUUGGGACUGAGAGACGGACCAGACUCGUACGGGAGGCAGCAGUGGGGAGUAUUGCACAAUGGGCGGAAGCCUGAUGCAGCAACGCCGCGUGCGGGAUGACGGCCUUCGGGUUGUAAACCGCUUUCGCCUGUGACGAAGCGUGAGUGACGGUAAUGGGUAAAGAAGCACCGGCUAACUACGUG
rnacentral:rRNA from 1 species